GACGAACGCUGGCGGCGUGCUUAACACAUGCAAGUCGAGCGGUAAGGCCCUUUCGGGGGUACACGAGCGGCGAACGGGUGAGUAACACGUGGGUGACCUGCCUCUAGCUCUGGGAUAAGCCUGGGAAGCUGGGUCUAAUACCGGAUAUGACCUCGCGGUGCAUGUUGCGGGGUGGAAAGCCUUGUGCGGCUAGGGAUGGGCCCGCGGCCUAUCAGCUUGUUGGUGGGGUGANGGCCUACCAAGGCGACGACGGGUAGCCGGCCUGAGAGGGCGACCGGCCACACUGGGACUGAGACACGGCCCAGACUCCUACGGGAGGCAGCAGUGGGGAAUCUUGCGCAAUGGGCGAAAGCCUGACGCAGCGACGCCGCGUGAGGGAUGACGGCCUGG
rnacentral:rRNA from 1 species